rnacentral:ribozyme from 1 species
AAAAAAGAGAACCAAUCGCGCCUUUUAACUGAAAAUAGAAAAUCGACUGAAAAAAAUAUUAAUAUUUUUCUUUUUUCUUUCUCUUCUUUCUCUUUUUUCUUUUUCUUUUUCUUUUUC